CGACGGGUGAGUAACGCGUGGAAACCUGCCGUAUACUGGGGGAUAACACUUAGAAAUAGGUGCUAAUACCGCAUAAGCGCACAGCUUCGCAUGAAGACGGUGUGAAAACUCUGGUGGUAUACGAUGGUUCCGCGUCUGAUUAGCUAGUUGGUGGGGUAAUGGCCUACCAAGGCAACGAUCAGUAGCCGGCCUGAGAGGGUGAACGGCCACAUUGGGACUGAGACACGGCCCAAACUCCUACGGAAGGCAGCAG
rnacentral:rRNA from 1 species